rnacentral:rRNA from 1 species
CAGUCGCACGGUAACACGUAGGGUGCAAGCGUUAAUCGGAAUUACUGGGCGUAAAGCGUGCGCAGGCGGUUAUAUAAGACAGAUGUGAAAUCCCCGGGCUCAACCUGGGAACUGCAUUUGUGACUGUAUAGCUAGAGUACGGCAGAGGGGGAUGGAAUUCCGCGUGUAGCAGUGAAAUGCGUAGAUAUGCGGAGGAACACCGAUGGCGAAGGCAAUCCCCUGGGCCUGUACUGACGCUCAUGCACGAAAGCGUGGGGAGCAAACAGGAUUAGAUACCCCCGUAGUCCCUGUCUCUUAUACA